GUUGCAUGGUUGAUUAACCCAGAGCGUCUUUUUCUUUGCUGCGACAUCCUGAAAUCGGAGUGCCGGUUGAGGAUCGCGGCCAGGAUGGCUCUGCGCUCUGCGCCCUUCCUGCUCCUGGUGUUGGUGUCCGUCGCUUUAGGAGAGAACCGCUUUGGUGCUUCCUCCCACUCCAUGAAAUAUUUCUCCACCGCCAUCUGGGAUCCCGGUCAGGGGCUGCCCCACUUUGUCACUGUGGGGUACGUGGAUGGUCAGGUCUUUGUUCACUACGACAGCCACAGCCGGAGGAUGAAGCCUCGAGUCUCCUGGAUGGAGAAGGUGGGGAAGGAGGAUCCCCAAUACUGGGACACAGAGACCCAGAAAGCACGUGGCCAUGAGGAGGUGUUCAGAGAAGACCUGAAAAUUCUGAGGAAUCGCUACAAUCAGAGUGAAGGACUUCACAUAAUACAGUGGAUGUCUGGCUGUGAGCUCUGGAGAGACGGGAGCAAAGGAGGGUUUAACCAGCAUGGCUACGAUGGGAGGAACUUCAUCACCUUCGACAAGGAGACCCUCACCUGGGUGGCUCCCGAUCCCCAGGCCCAGAUCACGCAGAGGAAAUGGGAUGCUGUCCCAGGAUGGAAUCAGGGAUGGAAGACCUACCUGGAGGGGGAAUGCAUUGAGUGGCUGGAGAAGUACUUGUCCUACGGGAAUGAGACACUGCUGAGGACAGAACCUCCAGUGGUAACAGUAAGCAGAAGGAAAGUCAAGGAUGGGAUGGAAAUGCGGGUCUGCCGCGUGGAUGGCUUCUACCCCAGGGCGAUCGAUGCCUCCUGGAGGAGGGACGGGGAGGUCUGGCUGCAGGGCACCUCCAAUAGGUCUGUGGCCCCCAACAUGGAUGGGACCUACCACUACUGGCUCAGCAUCCAGAUCAAUCCCAAAGAGAGGGACCACUAUCGGUGCCACGUGGAGCAUGACGGGCUGCAGGAACCUUUGGAUGUGGCCAUAAAAGAUCCCCCAGUGGUGACAGUAAGCAGAACGGACGACAAGGAUGCGAUGGAGGUGCACGUCUGCCACAUGGAUGGCUUCUACCCCAGGGAGAUCGAUGCCUCCUGGACAAGGGACGGGGAGGUGUGGCUGCAGGAUACCUUCCGUGGGUCUAUGAUCCCCAAUGUGGAUGGGACCUACCACUACUGGCUCAGCAUCCAGAUCGAUCCCAAAGAGAGGGACCGCUAUCGGUGCCACGUGGAGCAUGACGGCCUAGAAGAGCCUCUGGACGUGUCCCUGAAGGGUGAGACGCUGCAAGAAUCCAACCUGGGCCUCAUCAUCGGCUGCAUUGGGGCUGCUCUUGCCCUGGUGUGUGUGAUUGUUGGGACUUUGAUAUUCUUCAAAAAACGUCGGAAUGGCUAUAAAGCAGCGUCAGCAAGCGACAACGGAUCUGACAGUUCAGGCCCUGGCUGCUUUUCCAUCUUUGGAGUAAAGAGCCCAUCAGCUCUAGGGAGGAAAAUAGGAAAACCAGCAGUGAUGCCAUGAGCCGGUUAUGGUGGCCCAGGGGUGAAAUGAAGCAACCAGGUCAUUUAGCAGCCCCCUCGCAGGUUUUUAUUUAAAAAUAUAAACAAAUGAUUCGAUUGGUCAAGAAAGGUUCUGCAUUUGGUUUGCUGGAAAAGAUUGAAAAGAAUAUGAAUAUAAGAAACUCUGAGAUUACAAGAGGUGACGAAAAAUUGACUAUUUUUUUGGCAAGAGAAAUUCUCCGUUUCUGAGGAAAACUUUUCAACAACGAAUGUUGCAGAGAUGUUUACAACAGAGACUUAUGAACUUUGGAAAUGAGAUGCAAUUGUUGGUAAAGUUCCUAAUUAGAAACCUAAGGAAAAGUUCCCCAAUUAAGAACCAAACAAGGGUACAAGUAGUCCCCGACUUACAACAGUUUAUUUAGUGACCAUUCAAAGUUACAAUGGCACUGAAAAAAGUGACUUAAUAUCAUUAUUCACACUUAUGACCAUUGCAGCAUCCCUAUGGUCAUGUGAUUUACCCUCAGAUGCUUGACAACUGGUUCAUAUUUAUGACGGUUGCAGUGUCCUGGGGUCAUGUGAUCCCCUUCUGGCAAGCAAAGUCAAUGAGGAAGCCAGAUUUGCUUAAUAAUGGUGUUAGUAAUUUAACAACUGCAGUGAUUCACUUAACAAAUGUGGCAAGAAAAGUUGUCAAAUGGGGCAAAACUCAUUUAACAAAUUUCUCACUUAGCAACAUCCAUUUUGGGCUCAAUUGGUAACAGCCUUGGUAGUACAGUGGUUUAAAGCACCCUGUUAUUAACACAGCUGCCUGCAAUUUCUGCAGGUUCGAAUCUUACCAGGCUCAAGGUUGACUCAGCCUUCCAUCCUUUCUAAGGUAGGUGAAAUGAGGACCCAGUUUGUGGGGGCAAUAAGCUGACUUUGUAUAAAUAUACAAAAGUAUGAAGGCUAUUGCUUAGCGCACUGUAAGCCACCCUGAGUCUCCGGAGAAGGGUGGCAUAUAAAUCAAAUUAACAAAUAAAUAAAUUGUGGUCAUAAAUUGAGGAUUAUCUGUAUUUCACCCGAUAAUAAUGUAUUUCACCGAGAUAAUAAUGAUUUGCAGUAAAUAAGAAACUGUGCAGACCUUUAUGAAUAAGUGAUGAUAACAGACUGUUAACAGAGUGUUUUGAUUUUUAACUAUUAACUAUUUUUUUAACUAUUAAUUAUUUUUCCUUUCACCUAUGUAAUCUACAACAGGUCAAUUAGGUUGCAAAUAGAUGGACAAAAUUAUAAAUUUAGGACCUCUUUUGCAAGAGAGGAAGGUAUUAUUGUUGCAAUAGUUUUCUCAUUGUUUAACUGGGCGGGAGGGGAUAAUACGUUUUUGUCUUUUUUAUUCACAUUUUUGUUCAAUGUUUUUAUUCAAUUUUGUUCUGUAUUCUUUUUUUUUUUUUUUGGAUUUUAAAUCUUUUCAAUAUAAUAAAAUUGUUAAUUCUAAGAAAAAUAGAACAAGA